rnacentral:rRNA from 1 species
AUACACCUGUACCCAUGCCGAACACAGAAGUUAAGCUCUGUAGCGCCAAAAGUAGUUGGGGGAUCGCUCCCUGCGAGGAUAGGACGUCGCCAUGC